ACUCCACAAACACACUGCUUUAUAUACACACACUACAUAAAUACACUGUGUAUAUAAUGCAGUGUGUUUAUAAAAU